rnacentral:rRNA from 1 species
UACGGGGGGAGCAAGCGUUGUUCGGAUUUACUGGGCGUAAAGGGCGCGUAGGCGGCGCAACAAGUCACUUGUGAAAUCUCCGGGCUUAACCCGGAGCGGUCAAGUGAUACUGUCGUGCUAGAGUGCGGAAGGGGCUACUGGAAUUCUCGGUGUAGCGGUGAAAUGCGUAGAGAUCGGAAAGAACACCAAUGGCGAAAGCACUCUGCUGGGCCGACACUGACACUGAGAGACGAAAGCUAGGGGAGCAAAUGGG